GUUGUCUGGGGGACCCUGCGGCGGACAGCACUGGGCAUGCUCGGGCGGCAGUGGGCCGGGCGGGUCGCCGCGCCUCCACCUGGCUGUCCCGCCCCCCGCAAGCCAACCGAGCAGCACCUGGCGGCGCCCGGCAGGGGGAGGAGAAGGCGCGGGGCGGCGCUGCGCGUUCCCGAGCCGUGGCCCAACUUUCACCCCCACUUUCCCUCCUGGGGGUGCAGUCCCUGGAUCGGGGGUUGAGGAGACGCCGACUCGAGCGCAGAGCCGAGUUCCUGGAAGGCGGAGCGCGCGAGUACCCACCGUAUGGCCUGCUCGGGCACCUCGUCCCCAGUGGGCGCGGGGAGCCCCGAUCUUGAGCAGGGUGACUUUGGAUCCUGUUAUUCACGAAGCUCUCAAAAGAGAAACUGAUAAGCAAGAGUCAGCCUGCCAGAAGAGGAAAGAUCCAGAAUGUGAUCUGUGUGGCUCUGGAGUCCACUGUAUCACCACUAUAAUGUUCUUAGGACAUAUCUAGUCAGAGGGAUUGCCACUAACUCCUGUUUGCUGAUACAGUCUGUUAUGGGCAAGAGUCAGUGUCUGUAUCCUUGCUCUGAGUUUCUGUUCUGUGUGUGGCUAUGUGAACUGUCCCCAAAGCCCUGGCUCACCCUUGAUGGCCCAGAGCGCUUUGUCACUUGAGCUAAGAAUCAUCCAGCCGGCCAAAAGUUUAAAGUAUACAUAUGUUAAUUAUGUUGAUGAAUGCUGGAAUAUUCCAUAGACAUUUGGGGAAUUAUUCUGCCCUCAUUUAAAGGACUGAGUUUAGGAUUUAAAAGUGUGUCUCGGUGGAUAGAAUGCUCUCCCUACUGUGCUCAAGGCUUUGACUUCAAGCUGUAGCAGCAAGAAGAAAAUGAAAUAAAUAAAGAACGGAGUUUAGGGCUAAAGAGAUGGCUCAGUGGUUAAGAGCACUGACUGUGCUUCCAGAGGUCCUGAGUUCAAUUUCCAGCAACCACAUGGUGGGGCACAACACUCUGUAAUGGGAUCCAAUGCCCUCUUCUGGUGUGUCUGAAGAGAGUGACAGUUUACUCUUAUACAUAAAAUAAAUAAAUAAAUCU
rnacentral:lncRNA from 1 species